AUGGGCAACUGCAUCAGGUUUUGGUAUUAUAUUGGGAUCAUUUUGGAAUUGUGAGUUUAGUCUCUUUUGCUAUGGACCUCCUCUGCCUGCUCACAAAGGGUCAAUUGCUUCAGAAAUUUCAAAAAUUUCCAAAUCUUCUUAUUCUUGGGAUGUCCCUUCAGAUCUCUUGUUGUCUGGUAAUAAGUGUCGAUGUGGAAGUUGUCUUGUAAGAGAAGAGUUUUUGAAGGAUGCUCUUCCCGAAUGGA
rnacentral:misc_RNA from 1 species